AGAGGGAGAGUGAGUUCAGCCUAUCAUUUGAGAUCCGAGUAUGAUUGGGGAAAUAUCCUGAAAUAGUCCAUGAUUUGAAGAAAUGGAUAGAUGGCUAGAAUAAUAUGCUAGAUGGUACUCAGGUUACUAACUGCAGAAUUGAUUUGAUAAAAUUCUCAUCGUGUCUCCUGACUUAGGAGAAAUAUUGGGUCUGAUGAAUGGGUAAAAUUCCCAGGUGAAAAGAAUUUGGUCUGUAAGAUUUGGCAGCACCCUGAGGUUUGCCAUAUCUGAUGGCCUGGCUUUAGUGGCAGCACCUAGUGAAGGCCCAGGUGUCCUUCUGACAACCUUUACCGCCUACCGUUUUGUCCUUACUUAUGUUGAAUCACUACACACAGGCUGUUGAAUUCAGCUGUCUGUGGAGAAAUUAUACCAACCACAUGGUUAGACAGAAGGAAUACAAUAUAUUGCUUAAUUUGUAUCUGAAAGCUAAGCAACAUGGAAAAAAAUCAAGCCUGCUCAGUCACUUCCAUGAGGACAAAUGAAGACACUUCAAGGCUUAUGAAAACUAGGCAGAGGCAGCCCCCACCCAGUGACUGAUCAGCAGGGAGUUAUAAAGGCCCAAGCUCAUAUUCCAACAACGAAGGGCCAUACCAGCUCCAGAGCUUCCCAUGAAGUCAGGAGGACAUUGACAUGGAUCUGCCAGCUUUCUAAGCCUUUCCCCAGAUUCAAGUCCAGUCACAUCAAGUUGCCUUAUUAAAGGGUCUGCCCACUCAAAAGGAGAAAGUGCAAAAGAUGCUCAGCAAGGGUAGCAAACACAGUCAGAUGAUACUUCCUGACAGCAUCCAAGAGCAAGUCUCACCACCACAUCUGUCAAUAAAAAAGAAAACAAGGAGCUGCCAAUUUGUCUAUUUAUAGGUGCCAAUAAAAUCCUGCACAGAACUUUAGUCAACAAGACUAUUUCAGAAGGGGUGGCCAACAGUGUGGCCUUUCACUGGCAAGGGCCACCUUUGUCAUCACUUAAGAAAUAAAACCUGCCAAGUUUUCUGU